GCGUGCCGUGCGCCCCAGGGACAGGGGCUGGUGCCCAUCCUCGCCGCGCGCUGUCCCCCGCACUUCCUGUUCCGAGGAGAGACCCGCGCGCUGACCGUGCUUCCCUUCUCCCCUCGCCCCCUCUGUCCGUGCAGGUCCAUCCACAUCGUGGCGCUGGGGAACGAGGGGGACACAUUCCACCAGGACAACCGGCCGUCGGGGCUCAUCCGCACUUACCUGGGGAGAAGCCCUCUGGUCUCCGGGGACGAGAGCAGCUUGUUGCUGAACGCGGCCAGCACGGUCGCGCGUCCGGUGUUCACCGAGUAUCAGGCCAGUGCGUUUGGGAAUGUCAAGCUGGUGGUCCACGACUGUCCCGUCUGGGACAUAUUUGACAGUGAUUGGUACACUUCUCGAAAUCUAAUUGGGGGCGCUGACAUCAUUGUGAUCAAAUACAACGUUAAUGACAAGUUUUCAUUCCAUGAAGUAAAGGAUAAUUAUAUUCCA
rnacentral:sRNA from 1 species